GCUGGUGUAGCUCAGUGGUAGAGCAUCCGCCUUGUAAGCGGACGGUCAUGGGUUCAAAUCCCUUCACCAGCU
rnacentral:tRNA from 3 species